rnacentral:misc_RNA from 1 species
GGUUUGUUUGAAUAGAGAGCAGAUCUCUGGAAAAAUGAACC